UGAGGCGUGAUGACGAGGCACCACGGUGCUGAAGCAACAAAUGCCCUGCUUCCAGGAAAAGCCUCUAAGCAUCAGGUAACAUCAAAUCGUACCCCAAACCGACACAGGUGGUCAGGUAGAGAAUACCAAGGCGCUUGAGAGAACUCGGGUGAAGGAACUAGGCAAAAUGGUGCCGUAACUUCGGGAGAAGGCACGCUGACACGUAGGUGAAGUGAUUUACUCACGGAGCUGAAGUCAGUCGAAGAUACCAGCUGGCUGCAACUGUUUAUUAAAAACACAGCACUGUGCAAACACGAAAGUGGACGUAUACGGUGUGACGCCUGCCCGGUGCCGGAAGGUUAAUUGAUGGGGUCAGCGCAAGCGAAGCUCCUGAUCGAAGCCCCGGUAAACGGCGGCCGUAACUAUAACGGUCCUAAGGUAGCGAAAUUCCUUGUCGGGUAAGUUCCGACCUGCACGAAUGGCGUAAUGAUGGCCAGGCUGUCUCCACCCGAGACUCAGUGAAAUUGAACUCGCUGUGAAGAUGCAGUGUACCCGCGGCAAGACGGAAAGACCCCGUGAACCUUUACUAUAGCUUGACACUGAACAUUGAGCCUUGAUGUGUAGGAUAGGUGGGAGGCUUUGAAGCGUGGACGCCAGUCUGCGUGGAGCCGACCUUGAAAUACCACCCUUUAAUGUUUGAUGUUCUAACGUGGACCCGUAAUCCGGGUUGCGGACAGUGUCUGGUGGGUAGUUUGACUGGGGCGGUCUCCUCCUAAAGAGUAACGGAGGAGCACGAAGGUUGGCUAAUCCUGGUCGGACAUCAGGAGGUUAGUGCAAUGGCAUAAGCCAGCUUGACUGCGAGCGUGACGGCGCGAGCAGGUGCGAAAGCAGGUCAUAGUGAUCCGGUGGUUCUGAAUGGAAGGGCCAUCGCUCAACGGAUAAAAGGUACUCCGGGGAUAACAGGCUGAUACCGCCCAAGAGUUCAUAUCGACGGCGGUGUUUGGCACCUCGAUGUCGGCUCAUCACAUCCUGGGGCUGAAGUAGGUCCCAAGGGUAUGGCUGUUCGCCAUUUAAAGUGGUACGCGAGCUGGGUUUAGAACGUCGUGAGACAGUUCGGUCCCUAUCUGCCGUGGGCGCUGGAAGACUGAGGGGGGCUGCUCCUAGUACGAGAGGACCGGAGUGGACGCAUCACUGGUGUUCGGGUUGUCAUGCCAAUGGCACUGCCCGGUAGCUAAAUGCGGAAAAGAUAAGUGCUGAAAGCAUCUAAGCACGAAACUUGCCCCGAGAUGAGUCUUCCCUGAGACUUUGAGUCUCCUGAAGGAACGUUAAAGACGAUGACGUUGAUAGGCCGGGUGUGUAAGCGCAGCGAUGCGUUGAGCUAACCGGUACUAAUGAACCGUGAGG
rnacentral:rRNA from 1 species